AAAUCAUAAUGAGGACAUUGAGAUAUUAAGUCAUUGAACCUUUCUAAAUACCUAUAUAAAGAUUCUUCCUCUUGUUGAGCAAAAGUACAGAUUUGUUUCCUAAUAUU